UACGUAGGGUGCAAGCGUUACUCGGAUUUAUUGGGCGUAAAGCGCAUGUAGGUGGUUUUGUAAGUCUGAUGUGAAAGCCCUGGACUCAAUUCAGGAACUGCAUUGGAUACUGCAAGACUAGAGUAUGGGAGAGGUAGGCGGAAUUCUUGGUGUAGAGGUGAAAUUCGUAGAUAUCAAGAGGAACAACAGAAGCGAAGGCGGCUUACUGGACCAUAACUGACACUGAGAUGCGACAGUGUGGGUAGCAAACAGG
rnacentral:rRNA from 1 species